rnacentral:lncRNA from 1 species
CUGCUCCAACUAUGGCUCAGUGCGGCUCAGGCUCUUCACAGGAGCGCAUCGUAUCAGCUACAGAGACGCUAGUUGGAGCUCCAGCAGAAACCAUCACUGCACUGGAGCACAAGCAGGAACCAGCUUCUUGUAUUGCUUAUUGGAUAUAAUCACAAUGAUCGAUCUGCUUGAUUUUGCCAAAGCAGCAAUCACUUUACUCAAGGAUUCUUUGGACGCAUAAAGAGGAUUAAAUGCUGCGGUUACAGCACUGACACACGUGGAGGACUUAUUAUUAUUGUUGUUAUUUUUAUUAUUAUGUAUGGUUAAACGUUAUGAUGGCAACAGCUGAUGGAUUCAACACUCCAGCUGUGAAUCGUCCUGUAGGAUAUGAGGAAAUACUGUCUCUUACACUGGAUAUGUGGUGUCCAUUUCUCCUGCUGCCCAAGUCCUUCUGCUGGACAAGCCGUUUGUUGGACAGACGAGUCUCUUGGGAUAGUUCACGCGUGUGGCCAGUGUCAUAGAUGGCCACUACAAUGAAAUGAUUUCUGAAAUCGAUAUUUCUUGCGGUGGAUAUUGGCACAAGGAAAGGAAUAUCAUGGAAUAUAUUUUGAAAGCGAUGCUCAGCAGAUGUCCAGCUGUUUGGAUAAUGACAGAACGCAUCUCUUCAUCCAGCAGUGAAGGAAUCCAAAUUCUUGGAAUGAGAUGUCAACCUUUAAUUGCUUCCCAGGGAUCCUUUGAUUCUCUGCUGGAUGUGGUCCAUCAUGUGAUUUUCAUUGGAGGGUGGCCGGAGGAGACGACCACAGUAAAAGCAAGUGAGCGUGUGUGUUUGUGUGUCAUCUGGCCUUGUUAAUAAAUGCAGGUUGUUUUCCAUCUGGGGGUCAUCAGUUGUGGUCAUCACAUAUUGUACACAAGUGGAAGAGAGGGGGGCUCUUGUGUGUGCUUGUUUGUGUG